GAUAUGAUAAUCUUGCUUUCCAUUUUGCAAACAGCUUGAGACGAAAAUAACGUCAGAGCUUGAAUCACUGAAAGAAAGGAUCCAGACAAUGACCCAGGAACUUGAGACAUAUAGUGAUUUGGAUACCCUGAGAGAACAAUCUGAGGAGAAGAAAACGCGUUUGCAUGGAGAAAAGAAGACAUUGUCCGCAAGGAAAGAAACGUUCAAGAANCA